ACUAGUUAUAUUGUUAUAUUUAUAUUGUCAUAUUGUUUUACUGUUUAAUUUUUCUGAACCACACAUUCAACAUUGAAAAAUUAUAACUGAUCACAUUGUUCCUUAUUCUCCUCUCCUCCCUUCCUCUCUCUUUCUGCACUCAUUCAUGUCCCAUUAAUGCAUGUUACUAACUUCACUUCUUCCCCGGAGUUCUUGUGCUUUCUCGUCUCGCAGGUUCUCAUGGAUCCUGGUGGAGCCUCCUGCCAUGGUCCUGCUAGAUUGCCAUUGCCAAUACUGUUGUUACUGUGCACCUGUCUGUCUCUCGCUCUCUCUCUCUCUGUCUGUCUCUCUCUCUCUCUCUCUCUCUCACCCCAACUGGUCGAGACAGACGACCACCCACCUAGAGCCGAAGGAUCUGUCCUAGGUUUCUGCCUUUUAACAGGCAGUUUUUCCUUGCCCUUGUCGCCAAGUGCUUGCUCAUGGUGGUACUGUUGGGUCUAUGUGGUUGAUGUUGGGGAGUUCGGUCUAGACCUGCUCUAUUUGAAAAGUGUCCUGAGAUAACUUCUGUUAUGAAUUGGCGCUAUACAAAUAAAAUUGAAUUGAAUUGAA